rnacentral:rRNA from 1 species
GACGAACGCUGGCGGCGUGCCUAAUACAUGCAAGUAGAACGCUGAAGGAGGAGCUUGCUUCUCUGGAUGAGUUGCGAACGGGUGAGUAACGCGUAGGUAACCUGCCUGGUAGCGGGGGAUAACUAUUGGAAACGAUAGCUAAUACCGCAUAAGAGUAGAUGUCGCAUGACAUUUGCUUAAAAGGUGCAAUUGCAUCACUACCAGAUGGACCUGCGUUGUAUUAGCUAGUUGGUGAGGUAACGGCUCACCAAGGCAACGAUACAUAGCCGACCUGAGAGGGGGAUCGGCCACACUGGGACUGAGACACGGCCCAGACUCCUACGGGAGGCAGCAGUAGGGAAUCUUCGGCAAUGGACGGAAGUCUGACCGAGCAACGCCGCGUGAGUGAAGAAGGUUUUCGGAUCGUAAAGCUCUGUUGUAAGAGAAGAACGAGUGUGAGAGUGGAAAGUUCACACUGUGACGGUAUCUUACCAGAAAGGGACGGCCAACUACGUG